AAGGUUAAACAGGGUUUUGCUGCUAUUAGAUAAAUGGAAAUGCUUUCAGGGGGGGAUCACUGGUUGAUCCCUGGGUAGAUAAUGAAUUACUGUACUAGAGGGUGAUUCAAAAAGAGUUAAAAUAGGUUAUUUAGAUUAUGCCCUUAGAGGGUCAUGGGGCUUUUCGGCUCUGUAAAUAGGGUAGGGGAGUGUUGUAAGUCUGUGUGCACCGUGCUGAAAUGUGGGGUGCAUAUGUCAGCAACUUUUAAAAGCUGCUGACAUUCACUUUUCUCAAGUUCCUGUAACCAGUAGAGAGAGGUGAAAAAAGGGACAAGAACAUGUCUGGGGCAAGUAAAGGUUACUGGGUGAGGAAUGAGGAAGUGCACAUUUGCGGAGGGGGGUGGACGUGGCUGUAAUUUGUUUGCGUGGGUUGGAGUAUGGUGUCAACACGUAUGCAAAAUUAAAGAGAGCUGUGAUGUAUAAAUUGUACCUAUUCGAAGUAGUUCGGGGGAGAUUGUUGCGGGUAUCUGCCUGGGUGCAAUCCGGACAUUAGUCCGAGCACAGGGGAUGAUUACCACGUAACUCUGGUUGAGUGGAAUAACUUGGUCUGCUGAAGAAAGGACUGCUCUGAUGGAAUAAUGGACUAAAGGAACUGCAUCUUAUUCGUUGUUAAGGAUUACAGGAUUGUGGUCGGGACUUAACAAUGGACUGAUGGAGUAUCACUGGAUUCUAUUAUUUCCAGAGGAAUAACACCUGAAUGGAUUAACAAAGUUUUUUCCUGGCCCAAAACCCCAAAACUGGAUUACAUGCAGACCUGAAAUUUGGACUAACGCUCUCUCCAGCUUCCCCCUGGGUUCCUUGGUGGGCUCAGGUGAACGGCCGGGUGGGGCCCCACCCGCUGUUCUACUCCCUCCAAAUUACCGUUACACUAGGUAACACGCAUUCCCCUUUUUUCUUAAGAAAGCAUAAGACCAGUAGGGAUAUGGAUUAAGGGUGGUUUGAAUAUUAUCUAAUGUUUGAUUAUUUGUCUGAUGAUUUAUU